rnacentral:sRNA from 1 species
GAUGACGGUGUUCUUUAAAACGCUUCGAAAUCACUGGAAGAAAACUACAGCUGGGCUCUGCCUGCUGACCUGGGGAGGCCAUUGGCUCUAUGGAAAACACUGUGAUAACCUCCUAAGGAGAGCAGCCUGUCAAGAAGCUCAGGUGUUUGGCAAUCAACUCAUUCCUCCCAACGCACAAGUGAAGAAGGCCACUGUUUUUCUCAAUCCUGCAGCUUGCAAAGGGUAGUUCCGUUUGUGACUUGUUAUAUACUUGCUUUUUCUAAGGGGGAAAGAAACCACAGACUAUCAGGCAGCUAGUGAGAUUGUGUGGAAUUGGAAGAACUAGGUUUAGUACUCUUCUAGCAAUAAGAUUCAUUUGUAAUGUAGAAAUAACAGUUAAAUGAGAAAUAACUAUAAAACUAAUGGAUGCUUAGCAAACUUGUCUAAUUGAAGUUUAAUAAUCAUUCCAUGAUUAACACCUACAAAGAUGUCUUAUUUGCUUGGAAGUAGUCCCCUCGGGAGCGACUGCUGUACUGCUAGGACGUAAAUCCUUAGGCCAUCUCUGUCCACAGGAUGUUCAGAAAUGGCCAAGAAUACUGUGGGCUUGGGAGAUCAGAAAUGUUCUUUCCAAAAGAGAUGAUCCUUGAGCUAGGCCUGGGAGGAAGCAGGCAGGAGAAGACUACCCAUUCUUCUCAGCUGAGGAAACAGCCCAUGGGACAGGGGCCUGGAGACAGGAGUGACCUAGUUAUGGCUUUGUUAUGACACAGGACAGCCUUUAACUGAUCUGGCUGGCCUGGAAAUGUCAUGUGGGAAUUGUGGGAAUUAAGGUGUGAAGAAUCGUUGAGACUUGGGUAUAUAAUGAUUUGAUCAUGGCAGUUCAUUGAUUAUACAAAUGAACCACACUAAAACGUGGAGAGGCUGUAUGUGGGGGUGGGGAGUGGG